GACGAACGCUGGCGGCGUGCCUAAUACAUGCAAGUAGAACGCACAGUAUAUACCGUAGCUUGCUACACCAUAGACUGUGAGUUGCGAACGGGUGAGUAACGCGUAGGUAACCUGCCUGGUAGCGGGGGAUAACUAUUGGAAACGAUAGCUAAUACCGCAUAAUAUUGAUUAUUGCAUGAUAAUUGAUUGAAAGAUGCAACUGCAUCACUACCAGAUGGACCUGCGUUGUAUUAGCUAGUAGGUGAGGUAACGGCUCACCUAGGCGACGAUACAUAGCCGACCUGAGAGGGUGAUCGGCCACACUGGGACUGAGACACGGCCCAGACUCCUACGGGAGGCAGCAGUAGGGAAUCUUCGGCAAUGGACGAGAGUCUGACCGAGCAACGCCGCGUGAGUGAAGAAGGUUUUCGGAUCGUAAAGCUCUGUUGUAAGAGAAGAACGGGUGUGAGAGUGGAAAGUUCACACUGUGACGUAUCUACCA
rnacentral:rRNA from 1 species